rnacentral:rRNA from 1 species
CAUGCAAGUCGAACGAUGAAGCCUAGCUUGCUAGGUGGAUUAGUGGCGAACGGGUGAGUAAUACGUGAGUGACCUACCUUUGACUCUGGGAUAAGCCUGGGAAACUGGGUCUAAUACCGGAUACGACCAAUCUCCGCAUGGGGUGUUGGUGGAAAGCGUUAUGGAGUGGUUUUAGAUGGGCUCACGGCCUAUCAGCUUGUUGGUGAGGUAAUGGCUUACCAAGGCGACGACGGGUAGCCGGCCUGAGAGGGUGACCGGCCACACUGGGACUGAGACACGGCCCAGACUCCUACGGGAGGCAGCAGUGGGGAAUAUUGCACAAUGGGCGCAAGCCUGAUGCAGCGACGCCGCGUGAGGGAUGACGGCCUUCGGGUUGUAAACCUCUGUUAGCAUCGAAGAAGCGAAAGUGACGGUAGGUGCAGAGAAAGCGCCGGCUAACUACGUGCCAGCAGCCGCGGUAAUACGUAGGGCGCGAGCGUUGUCCGGAAUUAUUGGGCGUAAAGAGCUUGUAGGCGGUUGGUCGCGUCUGCUGUGAAAGGCUGGGGCUUAACCCUGGUUUUGCAGUGGGUACGGGCUAACUAGAGUGCAGUAGGGGAGACUGGAAUUCCUGGUGUAGCGGUGGAAUGCGCAGAUAUCAGGAGGAACACCGAUGGCGAAGGCAGGUCUCUGGGCUGUAACUGACGCUGAGAAGCGAAAGCAUGGGGAGCGAACAGGAUUAGAUACCCUGGUAGUCCAUGCCGUAAACGUUGGGCACUAGGUGUGGGGGACAUUCCACGUUUUCCGCGCCGUAGCUAACGCAUUAAGUGCCCCGCCUGGGGAGUACGGCCGCAAGGCUAAAACUCAAAGAAAUUGACGGGGG